AGAAUCAACGCUGGCGGCGUGCCUAACACAUGCAAGUCGCACGAGAAAGGGGAGCAAUCCCUGAGUACAGUGGCGCACGGGUGAGUAACACGUGAAUAAUCUACCUCCGAGUGGGGAAUAACUGAGAGAAAUCUUAGCUAAUACCGCAUAACACUUACGAGUCAAAGCAGCAAUGCGCUUGGAGAGGAGUUCGCGGCCGAUUAGUUAGUUGGCGGGGUAAUGGCCCACCAAGACGAUGAUCGGUAUCCGGCCUGAGAGGGCGCACGGACACACUGGAACUGAAACACGGUCCAGACUCCUACGGAGGCAGCAGUGGGAAUUUUGCGCAAUGGGGAAACCCUGACGCAGCAACGCCGCGUGGAGGAUGAAGCCCCUUGGGGUGUAAACUCUUCGAUCGGAAGAUAGUGACGGUACCGAUAUAAGACGCCCGGCUAACUUCGUGCCAGCAGCCGC
rnacentral:rRNA from 1 species